rnacentral:rRNA from 1 species
CAGCCAUGCCGCGAUGAGUUGAAGAAGGCCCUCGGGUUGUAAAGCUCUUUUGUCCGGAAAGAAAAGCUUUCGGUUAAUACCCGGAAGUCCUGACGGUACCGGAAGAAUAAGCACCGGCUAACUUCGUGCCAGCAGCCGCGGUAAUACGAAGGGUGCAAGCGUUACUCGGAAUUACUGGGCGUAAAGCGUGCGUAGGUGGUUCGUUAAGUCUGAUGUGAAAGCCCUGGGCUCAACCUGGGAAUUGCAUUGGAUACUGGCGGGCUAGAGUGCGGUAGAGGAUGGCGGAAUUCCCGGUGUAGCAGUGAAAUGCGUAGAGAUCGGGAGGAACAUCCGUGGCGAAGGCGGCCAUCUGGACCAGCACUGACACUGAGGCACGAAAGCGUGGGGAGCAAACAGGAUUAGAUACCCUGGUAGUCCACGCCCUAAACGAUGCGAACUGGAUGUUGGGUUCAACUAGGAACUCAGUAUCGAAGCUAACGCGUUAAGUUCGCCGCCUGGGGAGUACGGUCGCAAGACUG